AACCCUUGUCCUUAGUUACCAGCACGUUAUGGUGGGCGACUCUAAGGAGACUGCCGGUGCAAACCGGAGGAAGGUGGGGAUGACGUCAAGUCAUCAUGGCCCUUACGGCCUGGGCUACACACGUGCUACAAUGGUCGGUACAAAGGGUUGCCAAGCCGCGAGGUGGAGCUAAUCCCAUAAAACCGAUCGUAGUCCGGAUCGCAGUCUGCAACUCGACUGCGUGAAGUCGGAAUCGCUAGUAAUCGUGAAUCAGAAUGUCACGGUGAAUACGUUCCCGGGCCUU
rnacentral:rRNA from 1 species